rnacentral:rRNA from 1 species
CCGAACAGGACCGUGAAACGACUCCACGCCGAUGAUAGUGCGGAUUGCCCGUGUGAAAGUAGGUAAUCGUCAGGC